GCAGGUGGUGUUCUUGAGAUUGAUCUGCUGCUUGCGAUCGGCUGAGUAUCUGCAGAGGGUGAGGCAGUAACGGAGGUCUGGACUGGAUCUGGGGUUGCUACAGGAUGGUCUGUUGUGUGUUUGUGCAAAUACUGAUGCAGACUCAGUUUGUGAUGGUUUUGAUUCAGUUGAUGAGAGAAAUGGAGCUGGGGUACUGUGUGAUCUCUUCUGGUAUCAGCUGGUGUUAGAUGUGAAUGAUCAGAAUUAGGCAGUUUGGUUGAAGAUUCCGUAUUUGAUUGAUAGCACAAAGGGGAAGGAGUUCCUAUUUCCUCAUCUUCACCUCUCAUCUCCAUUAUAUCUGAUCUCCAAAAAAAGCUGAAGUUUGCUUUGUUCCUGUUCUACCGUCAACUUUCAACAGUUCUCUGCUCCUCCUUUCUCGGUAACUUUUUUUUUCUACCAAUCCCUACAUAUGAAUGAUACAAUUCCUUAUGAUUUACUGAUCUUGUAUGAGUAAGUUUUCAGCUAAGUUUAGUUUUGAUUAUCUAACAAACUCUCCGUUUCAUUAAAUAAGUUUAAAUACAUUCAAAGUUUAGGAGAAAAAAUGGAGCUUUGUCAGCCUACCUCUAUUAUUUUGUUUCUUUAGGAGAAAAAAAUGGAGGUUCCCUAUCUCUAUUAUUCUGUUUUUUUCUGGGCAGGAAACGCUAGAAGUUUCUUAAUCCUUAUUAAUUAAUUUGUAUAAUGCAGAUCAGCUAUUGCAAACUAAUUCAAAGAAUAAUUAAUUUUCUUGGAUUAGCAACCUUAUAGGAUGUAACCUUUUAGAAAAAAGGUCUCGCCUAUAUUUAGUUAAGUAUAAAUGAUUGCUUAUGUAUUUAUUAAGCCUUUGCAAGCUGAUUAAUUGUUGCCCAACGUCUCUAACUACUAAGGUUAGCAAUUAAUUGUAAUCAAUAGCAUAAAUAAUUUAUGUUAACAUGUGAACUUAAUUUUCUUUAUUAGGUUUCACAUUUAAUGUUAGCUAUUUGAUUUCCCUCUUUUGUACUAAAUUUAUGGUAAUUCACUUGAUGGAAUGGACUUUUCUUUUCCCAA